UUUAUGGAGAGUUUGAUCCUGGCUCAGAGUGAACGCUGGCGGCGUGCCUAAUACAUGCAAGUCGAACGAUGAAGCUUCUAGCUUGCUAGAAGUGGAUUAGUGGCGCACGGGUGAGUAAGGUAUAGUUAAUCUGCCCUACACAAGAGGACAACAGUUGGAAACGACUGCUAAUACUCUAUACUCCUGCUUAACACAAGUUGAGUAGGGAAAGUUUUUCGGUGUAGGAUGAGACUAUAUAGUAUCAGCUAGUUGGUAAGGUA
rnacentral:rRNA from 1 species